AGGUUUGCGUGCCGUCACAGUACGUGCCUGCUCGUUAUUGUACUACAGCAGCUUCAGCAACAUAUCCGUUUCGUUUUAAUAGACAGAGGCCUGGAAGCUCCCGUUUGCAGCAGCUAUGAAACUUAUCCUGCUCGUCGUCUUUGGUCUGCUAUUGUCGGCCACGGGCACUGCAGCCCAGUGGUGGGACGAGUGCGAGAAGCCGGUGUGCGCCAGCUGUGACGGCUUGAGCGUCACCUUCAUGAGCCAGUGCGAGCUCGAAACCUACAACUGCCAGAACGGGAACUGGUGCACCCAAGUCAGCGACACAGCGUGUACAGCCUCGAGGAAGCGGUAACCCAACCAAGACAGCUGCUGGCGAAAACAUCAAUAUGUUGUACUUUUCUACUCAGUUUUUCUUGUGGCAUACUGAGGGUUCAGAUCUAUGUCUCGAUCUUCUCAGUGAGUUGACGUUGUCUUAAAAAAAAAUUUAAAAAAAAUGGAUGAACGAAGAAAUAAAACUUUGACUUAUCUG